rnacentral:lncRNA from 1 species
ACAGUUGAUUUGCACAUUAUAACUUAUUUAUUUUUUAAAUAUGUUUUAAAGACUGUUUAUAUUCAUCGUAUUGGGCCUAAAAGUUGUUCAAAUGGAUCAAAAAAAAAUUUAUAAAUAGUUGUCAAAACAACGCUUUUACCCUAUCGAUCUUCAUCGUCAUCGCAGCCGCACUAUUCUUCUACAUUUACACCAUUACCUACAAGUGAAUAUAAAUUUUAUAUGCAAGCAUUGUGGUAUAUGUGAUAUAUAUUACCGAUUUCUCAUUCAUAUUUUAUUUUAGAGUAAACCUCAGAGUUGUGGCCAAAAUUUACACAGAUUUUCAAAAAGUUGGCCAAAGUUCCAAAUUCUCAUAAAGGUGGCCGAACUUUGGCUCUGGUUUUUAAAAGUGUGGCUCUCGUUAAAUGUCAUUAACGGGAGCAACAGACAGAGGGUAAAAAUGGGUUUUUCGACACCCAUAUCAAUAAUUCCCAUACAAAUAAUAAAACCACAUCAAUUUCACUCAACCUGAACAUAUAAUAAGAACCCUAUCAACAGUGCAUCUGACCUGUGUGUAUGUAUAUGUGUUUGUGUUGUGUGCGGAGUAUUCGGAGGAGAAGGGUUGGUAGUGACUGGCGGCGGUAUUAGGAGAGAGAAGGCGGCCACGAUUGAAAUAUCCUUUAAAAAAUUCCAAUUAUAUCAGUUAACAUUAAAAUUUUAAUGGCACUUUAACGGGACCCAUACUUUUAAAACAUGGAGACAAAAUUUCGUCACCUUUCUGAGAAUUUGGAACUCUGGCCAACUUUUUAAAAAUCGGUGUAAACUUUGGCCACAACUUUGAAAUUUACUGUUUAUUUUAUGCGUCAGAAAUGAUUUGAAUUGGAGUUCGGUCAGUCAUUGCCGAUUUGUGGCAUACUAGACUACAUAAGAAUGAUAACAUGAAUCGAUGGUUACAUGUUUUGUUCUUCUUGAAUAUUUAUAUCAUGGUUUUGUUGAAUAACGAGAUGUUUUAAUUUCAAUUUAGCAUUCAAUAAUUAAAUCGAAAGUUAAGCCCACUUGAAGGUCUGGUGCUAAUAUUUAUUAUAAUUUUUUUAUUUUUUUUGUUUAUAAGACUUU